GUAUAUAUACACAUAUAUACGUAUAUGUGUGUAUAUAUACACACAUAUGUGUAUAUAUGUGUAUAUAUAUA
rnacentral:pre_miRNA from 1 species